rnacentral:tRNA from 1 species
GAUUUUGUAGCUCAACUGGCAGAGCAAUUGGAUUAUACCCAAUAGGCUGAAGGUUCGAUUCCUUCCAAAAUCA